rnacentral:rRNA from 1 species
CGUAGGUAACCUGCCUUGUAGCGGGGGAUAACUAUUGGAAACGAUAGCUAAUACCGCAUAACAAUGGAUGACACAUGUCAUUUAUUUGAAAGGAGCAAUUGCUCCACUACAAGAUGGACCUGCGUUGUAUUAGCUAGUAGGUGAGGUAAUGGCUCACCUAGGCGACGAUACAUAGCCGACCUGAGAGGGAGAUCGGCCACACUGGGACUGAGACACGGCCCAGACUCCUACGGGAGGCAGCAUG